CCUACGGGGGGCAGCAGUGAGGAAUAUUGGUCAAUGGACGAGAGUCUGAACCAGCCAAGUAGCGUGAAGGAUGACUGCCCUAUGGGUUGUAAACUUCUUUUAUAAGGGAAUAAAACGAGGCACGUGUGCCUUUUUGCAUGUACUUUAUGAAUAAGGAUCGGCUAACUCCGUGCCAGCAGCCGCGGUAAUACGGAGGAUCCGAGCGUUAUCCGGAUUUAUUGGGUUUAAAGGGAGCGUAGAUGGGUUGUUAAGUCAGUUGUGAAAGUUUGCGGCUCAACCGUAAAAUUGCAAUUGAUACUGGCAGUCGUGAGUACAGUUGAGGUAGGCGGAAUUCGUGGUGUAGCGGUGAAAUGCUUAGAUAUCACGAAGAACCCCGAUUGCGAAGGCAGCUUACUAAACUGUGACUGACAUUGAUGCUCGAAAGUGUGGGUAUCAAACAGGAUUAGAUACCCUGGUAGUC
rnacentral:rRNA from 1 species